rnacentral:snRNA from 2 species
GUGCUCUCUCUGGCAGUACAAGUUCUAAAAGCAGAACAGAAAAUGUUAGCUUGGCCCCCGUACAAAGAUGGAAGCUUCUAUUGAUGAAACUGUCCAUAUUUUA